ensembl:lncRNA
AAGGAGGACAAAUCUGCACAGGAUGCUGGAUAAAUAAACCCAAAGAACAACACAUCUGUUUAAGAAGCCCAUCGAGGGUCCUCAGGCAGCAGGGCCAUGUGAGGACUGCAGGGACACUUGCAGCAUAUGGAGGGAGCUGUCUGCAGGGUUUAAUAUGAUGUCUUUAUGGACGUUGCCUCGUGCACCGGUGUGCAGUCAUGUCGGUACAGGAAGGGGCCAUCCCCAAACUACUCCCACAAAGCUGGGAGCUGAAAUUGUCCAAAAUGUCUCAGUAUGCAGAAGCAUUAAGAGUUCCUUUCAGUAGAACCAAGGAACCGAGUCCUGAAAAACACCCGCACACCAUAACCCCCCCUCCACCAACCUUUACACUCGGUCAGACUAGUACCGCUCUCCUGGAAACCUUCAAACUCCUCCAAUGGACUGCCAGAUAGAGACGUGUGAUUCGUCACUCCAGAGAACACGCCUCCACUGCUCUACAGUCCAG